AUUGAACGCUGGCGGCAGGCCUAACACAUGCAAGUCGAGCGGAUGAAGGGAGCUUGCUCCUGGAUUCAGCGGCGGACGGGUGAGUAAUGCCUAGGAAUCUGCCUGGUAGUGGGGGAUAACGUCCGGAAACGGGCGCUAAUACCGCAUACGUCCCGAGGGAGAAAGUGGGGGAUCUUCGGACCUCACGCUAUCAGAUGAGCCUAGGUCGGAUUAGCUAGUUGGUGGGGUAAAGGCCUACCAAGGCGACGAUCCGUAACUGGUCUGAGAGGAUGAUCAGUCACACUGGAACUGAGACACGGUCCAGACUCCUACGGGAGGCAGCAGUGGGGAAUAUUGGACAAUGGGCGAAAGCCUGAUCCAGCCAUGCCGCGUGUGUGAAGAAGGUCUUCGGAUUGUAAAGCACUUUGAGUUGGGAGGAAGGGCAGUAAGUUAAUACCUUGCUGUUUUGACGUUACCAACAGAAUAAGCACCGGCUAACUUCGUG
rnacentral:rRNA from 1 species